UACGUAGGAGGCGAGCGUUGUCCGGAGUUACUGGGCGUAAAGCGCACGCAGGCGGUCAGAUCAGUCUGGAGUGACAGUCGUCGGCUUAACCGACGAAGUGUUCUGGAAACUGUCUGACUUGAGGGCUUCAGAGGGACACGGAAUUCCGGGUGGAGUGGUGAAAUGCGUAGAUAUCCGGAGGAACACCAAUGGCGAAGGCAGUGUCCUGGGAAGUACCUGACGCUCAGGUGCG
rnacentral:rRNA from 1 species